rnacentral:lncRNA from 1 species
CUGGGAUCCCAGGGGCUGGCGGGGUGCGGCCCGGGAGGGGGGCGACAGCUGCGCUGCCCUCCAUUUCCUGCUAAUCCAAGGAGGUUCCAAAAGAGAUCAAAAGACUCCUGUAACCCGAAACUUGCCUCUCAUCCCAACCUGGACGUGGCGGAGAGGUCCAGGCGGGGGCGGAGGCCCCGGAAGGCAGGUGGUCCGCGGAGGCGGGUGGGGAAGAAGCUGCGGGAGUGAGAAGUUUUGGUGGGGAAGGCGCUGGGGAUUAAGCGAGAAGUUAGAGGCGGCCGACGAGUGUGGUCGGGAGGGGAGGAGGGCGCGAGGCUGGAAGGGUGUAUAUAGUGUGGGCCGCGGAGACGGGGACUUGGCGCUCCGGGUCUCGGGACGCGCGUCCCUCUCCCGGGUCGCGCCGCGGAGCCAGCGAGAGGCGCCAACAAAAGCGGCGAGGCGGUGCCACCCCGGACCGCGGCAGGUAGAGGAGCCGGAGGAGGAGCGCGAGCCCACCGUCCCGAGCCGCCGUGCGUACUUUCUGGAGGGCAGGGCAGCGCGGGGGACUCGGCCCCGGGAGGGGGGACGCCCGCGGCGCGGGGGUGAGCCAAGUUCCGGCGGCGGCGGCGGCGGCGGCGGCUCUCCUCCGCUCCCACGAGAGGAAAGUUUCUGCAGACGCUUCCGGCCAGCCCGCGCCCUCCGGCCCAGCCUCCCGAGCCUUCGGAGCGGGCGUCGUCCCAGCCCAGCUCCGGGGAGAGCGAGCCGCGAUGCCUGGGGCGUGCUCCCGGGGCCCCGCCGCCGGGGACGGGCGGCUGCGGCUCGCGCGCCUGGCGCUGGUCCUCUUGGGCUGGGUCUCCUCGCCCUCUCCCACCUCCUCGGCGUCCUCCUCCACCUCCUCGGCGUCGUCC